AUUGAACGCUGGCGGCAUGCCUUACACAUGCAAAUCGAACGGCAGCAUAGGAGCUUGCUCCUGAUGGCGAGUGGCGAACGGGUGAGUAAUAUAUCGGAACGUGCCCUAGAGUGGGGGAUAACUAGUCGAAAGACUAGCUAAUACCGCAUACGAUCUACGGCUGACAGUGGGGGAUCGCAAGACCUCAUGCUCCCGGAGCGGCGGAUAUCUGAUUAGCUAGUUGGUGGGGUAAAAGCCUACCAAGGCGACGAUGAGUAGCUGGUCUGAGAGGACGACCAGCCACACUGGGACUGAGACACGGCCCAGACUCCUACGGGAGGCAGCAGUGGGGAAUUUUGGACAAUGGGGGCAACCCUGAUCCAGCAAUGCCGCGUGAGUGAAGAAGGCCUUCGGGUUGUAAAGCUCUUUUGUCAGGGAAGAAACGGUAGUAGCUAUUAUCUAUUACUAAUGACGGUACCUGAAGAAUAAGCACCGGCUAACUACGUGCCAGCCGCCGCCGUAA
rnacentral:rRNA from 1 species